UACGAAGGGGGCUAGCGUUGCUCGGAAUUACUGGGCGUAAAGCGCACGUAGGCGGCUUUCUAAGUCGGGGGUGAAAUCCUGGAGCUCAACUCCAGAACUGCCUUCGAUACUGGGAAAGCUCGAGUCCGGGAGAGGUGAGUGGAACUGCGAGUGUAGAGGUGAAAUUCGGUAGAUAUUCGCAAGAACACCAGUGGCGAAGGCGGCUCACUGGCCCGGUACUGACGCUGAGGUGCGAAAGCGUGGGGAGCAAACAGG
rnacentral:rRNA from 1 species